UCUCAAGCAUAAGAAGGGCAUCUGGUGGAUGCCUUGGCGUUAAGAGGCGAUGAAAGACGUGGCACUCUGCGAUAAGCUACGGUGAGCCGAGAGCAGGCUUUGACCCGUAGAUUUCUGAAUGGGGCAACCCCACCCAAUAGGGUGAUCAUGCAGUGAAUACAUAGCUGCAUGAGGCGAACCCGGAGAACUGAAACAUCUCAGUACCCGGAGGAAAGGACAUCAACCGAGACUCCGCAAGUAGUGGCGAGCGAACGCGGACCAGGCCAGUGGCCUAUGAUUAAGAACCGGAACGAUCUGGAAAGGUCGGCCAUAGUGGGUGAUAGCCCCGUACGGGUAGAAAGAUCAUAGGUCCUCGAGUAGGGCGGGACACGAGAAAUCCUGUCUGAACAUGGGGGGACCACCCUCCAAGCCUAAGUACUCCUUAACGACCGAUAGUGUACCAGUACCGUGAGGGAAAGGUGAAAAGCACCCCGAUAAGGGGAGUGAAAUAGUUCCUGAAACCGGAUGCCUACAAGCAGUUGGAGCCUCUUAAUGGGGUGACAGCGUACCUCUUGCAUAAUGGGUCAGCGAGUUAGUCUUACAAGCGAGCUUAAGCCGAUAGGUGUAGGCGCAGCGAAAGCGAGUCUGAAUAGGGCGAUUGAGUUUGUGGGAUUAGACCCGAAACCAGGUGAUCUAGCCAUGAGCAGGUUGAAGGUGAUGUAACAGUCACUGGAGGACCGAACCCACGUCUGUUGAAAAAGACGGGGAUGACUUGUGGUUAGGGGUGAAAGGCCAAUCAAACCUGGAGAUAGCUGGUUCUCCGCGAAAUCUAUUUAGGUAGAGCGUCAGACGAAUACCUUCGGGGGUAGAGCACUGAAUGGGCUAGGGGGCCUUACCGGCUUACCAAACCUAAUCAAACUCCGAAUACCGAAGAGUAAUAUCUGGCAGACAGACUACGGGUGCUAAGGUCCGUGGUCGAGAGGGAAACAGCCCAGACCGCCAGUUAAGGUCCCAAAGUUGUGGCUAAGUGGGAAAGGAUGUAGGACGGCCAAGACAACCAGGACGUUGGCUUAGAAGCAGCCAUCGUUUAAAGAAAGCGUAACAGCUCACUGGUCUAAAUAAGCUGUCCCGCGCCGAAGAUGUACCGGGGCUCAAGCCACACACCGAAACUGCGGAUUUGUUCUUUUA
rnacentral:ncRNA from 1 species